GUAGGUGGCAAGCGUUGUCCGGAAUUAUUGGGCGUAAAGCGCGCGCAGGCGGUUUUUUAAGUCUGAUGUGAAAGCCCACGGCUCAACCGUGGAGGGUCAUUGGAAACUGGAGAACUUGAGUACAGAAGAGGAAAGCGGAAUUCCACGUGUAGCGGUGAAAUGCGUAGAGAUGUGGAGGAACACCAGUGGCGAAGGCGGCUUUCUGGUCUGUAACUGACGCUGAGGCGCGGAAGCGUGGGGAGCAAACAGGGAUUAGAUACCCUGGUAGUCCACGCCGUAAACGAUGAGUGCUAAGUGUUAGGGGGUUUCCCGCCCCUUAGUGCUGCAGCUAACGCAUUAAGCACUCCGCCUGGGGAGUACGGCCGCAAGGCUG
rnacentral:rRNA from 1 species